rnacentral:rRNA from 1 species
UAAGCGGAGGAAAAGAAACUAACUAGGAUUCCCUUAGUAACGGCGAGUGAACCGGGAUGAGCUCAAAUUUAAAAUCUGGCGUCUUUCAGGCGUCCGAGUUGUAAUCUAUAGAGGCGUUUUCCGCGCCGGACCGCGUCCAAGUCUCUUGGAAUAGAGUAUCAAAGAGGGUGACAAUCCCGUACUUGACGCGACAACCGGUGCUCUGUGAUACGUUCUCAAUGAGUCGAGUUGUUUGGGAAUGCAGCUCUAAAUGGGUGGUAAAUUCCAUCUAAGGCUAAAUAUUGGCGAGAGACCGAUAGCGAACAAGUACCGUGAGGGAAAGAUGAAAAGCACUUUGGAAAGAGAGUUAAACAGCACGUGAAAUUGUUAAAAGGGAAACGAUUGAAGUCAGUCGUGUGGGAAGUAUUCAGCCGUCUCUGGCGGUGUAUUUGCUUCUCACGGGUCAACAUCAGUUUGAUCCGGUAGAAAAAGGCGGGAAGAAGGUGGCAUCCUCGGGUGUGUUAUAGCUUCCUGUCAUAUGUGCCGGACCAGACUGAGGAACGCAGCUUGCAGCAAUGCCGGGGUUCGCCCACGUACAAGCUUAGGAUGUUGACAUAAUGGCUUUAA